AUUCCAGCUCCAAUAGCGUAUAUUAAUGUUGUUGCAGUUAAAAAGCUCGUAGUUGGAUUUCUGGUGGGAGUGGCCGGUCCGCCGUAAGGUGUGUACUUGGUUGUCUCCCGUCAUCCUUGUGGGAACUGCUCUGGCAUUAAGUUGUCGGGGUUAGGGAACACAUCGUUUACUGUGAAAAAAUUAGAGUGUUUAAAGCAGGCUUAUGCCGUUGAAUACAUUAGCAUGGAAUAAUAAGAUAGGACUUUGGCGUCUAUUUUGUUGGUUUGCACACCAAGGUAAUGAUUAAUAGGGAUAGUUGGGGGUAUUCGUAUUUAAUUGUCAGAGGUGAAAUUCUUGGAUUUAUGAAAGACGAACUUCUGCGAAAGCAUUUACCAAAGAUGUUUUCAUUA
rnacentral:rRNA from 1 species